GAAAUUUUCGCAAGUUACGGAAUUUACGAACAUUUUUCCGAAAUCUCCCUACAUUCUGCCAUACUCAAAUAACAAUCAUCAUAGAAAUUUUCUAAACUAACACAUAAGCAUCCUUAGAUAAAUAAUAGCAGUUUUAAAGCAUCACAACACACUCAUUACAUAUUCUCAUUCUCACAUAGUCUUACACACCAUAGGAAAUUUAAAGACAUAGUUCGAUACACAAAUUCAUCCAUCCAUUCACUCCCCCUUUGGCAUCAAGUGCCAAAAAGGAAAUGAAAUAGUAGCAGCUCCUCGUCGUUGUCAUAGUCCUCGUCCUCCUCCUCCUUAUUGUCAUCCUCGUCCUCUUCCUCUUCUUCCUCAACG
rnacentral:lncRNA from 1 species